rnacentral:lncRNA from 1 species
ACACUAACGUUUAACUUUAUUUGGAAAUAACGUUGCCGAGAGUAUACCAUAAACACACAUGGGCUAGAUAGUCAUGCACAUGACUCUAACAAGUGGAAGACUAACAGAUAUAAGUUGCUAUGACCAGUAAUUACACUCAUUAAACCAUUUACACGUUUCCAAUAGGUUAUAUCGAUAUAUGCGUGUGCUCAGGUGUUGUCUGAAUAUUUCAGUAGUACACUAAAAACACAGCCACUUCACUUCUUGUAUCUUGAAUCUGCAAGCACGCGGUUUCGUCAGAGAGGCCAGAUGGACCCUUAUUGAUGUCUGUAGUAAAGGCAUGGGGGGAAAUGACAACAUAUCAUACGGCAAAGUCAUUUUUUGACAUUUUUUGUGUUCAUACAUAUUUACAUUCACAUACUUAACUAAUAUAAGAGGGGGGAUUUGUAUGUACUGGAAUUAGAAUUAUAUGAACAGAAAUAUUGAAUCAGGCUAUUCUUUGGGAAACCCUUGUAAGUGACAUCAGCAAAUACGCUCGUCAAGUACCCCAGUGCCAUUUUGGCUCAAACAAAGUCUGGAUUUCACAAAAUUCUUGCAAACUGUUUUUUCUUUCUUCGUUGUGCAACAUUUUGUAACGAUAGUGUUAAUAUAUUUUUAGUGCAUGGCUGUAUUCUUUCUGCUAGGUGUGAAUUAACAAAAAACGUAUUCCAAGGAAGUUCGUGCUAAACCGCUAACAAGGUUAGCGGUUAGCUUUAGGGGGCUGUCUAACGUUACGUGUCAUCAUUAGCAAGACACUAGUUACUUGAGCUAGCAAGCUAAUAGCUUAUUGCUAGUUAGCGUACUGCUAACUUUCGCCACUUCAUAAGGAAACAAAUAUGGGUGGAUGCUCUGCUCCAAAUUGCUCAAACUCCACCACUAUAGGUAAACAACUCUUUCGAUUUCCGAAAGACCCAGUACGAAGCAGAAAAUGGGUGAUAAACUGUCGACGUGAUUUUGUGCCGACUCCCUGUUCCAGGCUAUGCCAGGACCAUUUCGAAGACAGUCAGUUUGAAGAAAUCGCUAGAUCGCCAGCAGGGGGAAAGAAACUAAAACCUAAUGCCAUCCCUACCCUCUUUAAUGUGCCAGACCCCCCCUCUCCAAUCACGCCCCAGAUAACUCUACCUAUUAAACCAGAACCAGUGGAGAAGGACCUUAACGUGGGAGACCAUGGCUAUGCUCGGCGACAGCCCAAACUGAGUCCAGAGGAGGAGGCAGGACUGCAUAGAGCAGAGGAGGAGCGGCCUUGUUCCCUCUGUCAGCACUACAAGGCCCAGCUGGAGCAGCAGCAACACCACACAGCGAGGCUACAGAGAGAGGUAGAGGAAAUGAAGAAACGCCUCCACAAACUAAACAAGAUAGAGAAAGGACUGCAGAUGUUCCUGUUUGAGGACCAGAUCCGGGCUCUUACCUUGGCCAAGCGCUCACGCAGGGCUGUGUGGUCUCAGGACACCGUGCUAACUGCCCGCAAAAUCCGCUGUGCCGUCGGGGUCAAAGGGUACGAGUUCCUCAGAGACCUUGGAUACCCCUUGCCCUCCUACAGAACUUUAUGCAACCGAUUAGAACCCAAAACAAUGUCUACCAGCAUGCAGGAAGAGCUGGCUGAACUGGGCCUUGGUAUCAUGACGUCAUGUGACAGUCCAGAGGGCAGUGGAGCCAAUGACGAAGGACUUAUUGGUGUGAUGACAUAGAAGCAUUCUCUUUUCUGUUUUGUUUUAGAGUUUCAUGUUAUUAAUAUUUGGUUGAAGGCAAUAACGGAGGUGGGUCUAAAGGGAGCUUUGCUUUGGAGCCUGAUUGCAUAAAGAGUGUGUGAUCGAAGUUAUUAUUUCAAUAUUAAAUUUCCAAUGCAUUUUUUUAAAGUUGCUGGUGGAUUCUCAUCUGAAGACAUUGCACUUUGUAUUUCCAUCAUGCGUAAUACAUUAUUAGUAGCAUAGCUAAUAACAAGUAGAGAGCCAAAAAGCCAAAAUAUGCCGAAUAUCUAAGUAAUGGUGUUGAGCAGGAGUACGUUUGGCCUCAUUCCUUCAGCAAUGCGUUCGUGACAUUUAUCAACAGCAAGAUAGUGUCAUGACUUCAGGAGAAUUAUCCACUUAUAAAUGUGUUCUGAGUAUAAGAUGAGACAUUGUCUGAAUUCCCUCACACAAAAAAAUACUGAGCCAUAAAUUAAUUGUUGGUCAUGCUUUUACUAUUGUUUGACCUCGGCAGCGAAGAGGGAAGGCGAAAAAAGCAAGCAUUUGUGCUCUCUUUGCUCAAGUGAUUAACUAACGUAGGUCUACCCAGAAUUUGCUUUGUUUAGCGCACAGUUUUGUGAGGGACUUGGCAGAAUCGCAGCACACUACACACCAACAUGCCACCCCAUUUCUGGCCAGCACAGUAUAUUUCAUCCAAUUUCAUUUCAUACAGAAAUAUUCACCUCUGCAUUCUGUAUUUUUUGAGAGAAAACGUGCACCAUGACAUACGUUUUCUUCCACUACAAACAUUUACUGUGCCCUGUGGACACUGUCACUCUCAUUAUAGCUUGUUUUUAAAGUAAAUUCUUGUUUUGACCACAUGGUGGCGUCCAACCAAACAGAUUUAUGUACUUGCAGAAUGAUACAUUUGUGCAGCAUGCUAUUACCAAAGCAAAGGUAUUGUAAAAUAUUUUAAGAAUAAAUCUUUUCAACCUUUAUAGCA